UACAGAGGGUGCAAGCGUUGUUCGGAAUUAUUGGGCGUAAAGCGCGUGUAGGCGGCUUUGCAAGUCGGGUGUGAAAGCCCUCAGCUUAACUGAGGAAGUGCGCCCGAAACUGCAGAGCUUGAGUACCGGAGAGGGUGGCGGAAUUCCCCAAGUAGAGGUGAAAUUCGUAGAUAUGGGGAGGAACACGGUGGCGAAGGCGGCCACCUGGACGGAUACUGACGCUGAGACGCGAAAGCGUGGGUAGCAAACAGG
rnacentral:rRNA from 1 species